rnacentral:rRNA from 1 species
AGUGGCAAACGGGUGAGUAAUAUAUAGGAAUCUACCUAGCAGUAAGGAAUAACCCUGGGAAACCAGAGCUAAUGCCAUAUAUCACCGAUUUAUCGGGAAAGAUUUAUCGCUGUUAGAUGAGCCUGUAUCAGAUUAGCUUGUUGGUGGGGUAAUGGCCUACCAAGGCAAUGAUCUGUAGCUGGUCUGAGAGGAUGAUCAGCCACACUGGGACUGCGACACGGCCCAGACUCCUACGGGAGGCAGCAGUGGGGAAUAUUGGACAAUGGGCGCAAGCCUGAUCCAGCAAUACCACGUGAGUGAUGAAGGCUUUCGGGUUGUAAAACUCUUUUAGUAGGGAAGAUAAUGACGGUACCUACAGAAAAAGCACCGGCUAACUUCGUGCCAGCAGCCGCGGUAAUACGAGGGGUGCUAGCGUUGUUCGGAUUUAUUGGGCGUAAAGCGUGCGUAGGCGGCUUGAUAAGUCAGCUGUGAAAGCCCAGGGCUCAACCUUGGAAUUGCAGUUGAAACUAUUAGGCUAGAGUGUGAAGAGGGAUAGUGGAAUUCCUAGUGUAGGGGUGAAAUCCGUAGAUAUUAGGAGGAACAUCGGUGGCGAAAGCGACUAUCUAUGUCAUUACUGACGCUGUUGCACGAAAGCGUGGGGAGCAAACAGGAUUAGAUACCCUGGUAGUCCACGCAGUAAACGAUGAGUGCUAGUUAUCGGGAUUUUGGGUUUCGGUGGCAAA